rnacentral:lncRNA from 1 species
GAAGCCAGGAAACUAGUUGGGGAGUGGCACUCGCAGCUGCAGCAAAUCUCAAAAUAAAGAGGCAACGGCCUUUCUCUUCCUCUCCAUCUCCCUAUAGCACACCUUUUAUUUCUUUUCUUCUUUUUUUUAAGCCUCACGAAAGAUUUUACUUGUAGAUCAACUUUCAAAAUGUAGGAAGUCAGAAUGGGUGACAUCAUCAGAAAAAUAUGUGGAGCUGAUCACAAGAAGUGAAGAACCCAGAGCACGAAAGCGGUUGUGACUCCUGGGCCCAGGGAGUUGACAGCGUCUGGGUUUCAGAGGAGCCAGCGCCUCCGAGUUGUCUUGAAGUGAGGCUCUGCUGUAGUCCUGUUCUUCUGGCUCUAAGAUCUGAAUGUUGUGACCACUAAUUUGCUCUUUCCUGGAGAGUAACCCCAGUUUGGUCCACAAGGCUUGCUGCCCAAUCUUUGCCAACAGUUGAACCAAGACUCUGAGGCUGAUAUGCAAUGUCACUUACAACAUUAAUCAGAUACUGCAUUUAAGGUGAGCUGUCCCUUGCCUCCUCCUUCCCCAGUGCUCGUGUGCUGCAUGCAGUGCGUAUCUUGCUUCUGCGAGCCUAAGAUGGCAGGCAGGAUUAGCCGUGCUUGUGCUGUGUGUGCAUGCUGUGUCUAGAAUUCAUUACACGUUGCCUAGUAUUUCAGAUGUGAGUAUGUAAAUGCUCUGUAUGCCAUAUCAUCUGGUAGCGAAGACUUGUUUUUGCCUCAUUACAGCCUUAGAUAUUUCAACAUCACCUUUCAUUUCCAAUUCAUUUGCUUCUGGAUGUUUGUUUUUCAUCACAUUCAAAAUAUGAUUUUACCUUUUUUUUUUUAACAAAACCAAAACCCCCCACAAACCCUAAAAACAAAAACAACAACAACAAAACUCUGCUACCAGAUGGUGUCUCUCCUUUCUUCGUGCAUUUGCUGUCUUUUAAAUAAUGUAUGUUGUAUUGUUAAUUAAUGUGAAUAUCAAAUUAAACACUUGAAACUUACAUGUUUAUUAUGCAGGUAGGAGGCAAGGUGGAUUCUAUUUUUAACUCUUAUGCACUCCAUCAUGUGCAAGCAACUUGGGUUCUCAAAUUUGUAUUUUCAAUGCUGGUAUCAGUGGUUUGAUUUUCAGCAAAUGUGACAGUGGCCUUUGCAGUGGUCAGCUCCGAGCUUUGAACUCUCAGAGGAGGAAGGGGAAAAAAAUUCAACACACCACCUCCUUGGUUGCAGUCUCAGAAAAACCUUGGAUGAGAAACUUCUUUUUUCAAUCCUGUUUUCCUGUUGAUAAAUUCAGUUCUGUGAUCACAGUUCAUUCAAGCUGUUCUGCGUAUGAUUUUUGUGUGUAUGUGACAAUUGCAUCUAAAACUUGUGAGCAAGAAGACAGAGAAAUCAGUUGGUCUCCAUCGCUUUACAUAAAAAUGGCUGAGUGUCUUGUCAUGCUAGCACUGCAUUAAGUGAUGCAUACAGGUAGGUUGAAAUUUGCAUGUUUUUAUAGUUUUUUUUGAGCCAUGCAGCAAGAACAUUAGAUGCAUUAGAAUAUGACUUUUAAAAAAACAAAAAUUAAAUAAGACAGCUGUAAUCUUUUGGGGGAGGGUUUUUAAUUGGACAGCCUCUGCUAUUCAGAUAGUAUAUAAAUGUAUAGCUUUUACAAACUUAGUAAAUGAUUCUGCCAUAAAAGGGAGAUUUUUUUUAAAAAAAAAUCAUAUAUAUGAUAGGUGUGGUGCCAUUAGACAACAAAAGAAUUUUUUGAAAAGAGUGAUGAUUCAGCUCCAUUUCAGCUUGAAACUAAAAAUAAAUGGGUUUCUGGAGAUGAUUUCAAAGAGCGUAAACAAGCUUAAUAAGAAACAUUAAAAAUAUUUAAAUUUUAAGAAGCGGUCUUUAAACGUGUUUAUGAAAGAUGAAAAUAAAAACUGAUAUGCUUCCAAAAUUAAUUUUAGGUAAUAUACAAGAAUACAUUAUAUUAUGUAUAUAAUUUGGGGGGAUGAGGAGUUACAAUUUUUAAAGAGGGAAAUAUUAAAUAUAGAUGGCCCUCUUAAAAGAAAUAGAGCUUCACUAAAUGAAACCGAGCCCCUAGAAUGGUUCAUUGCAGACCAUAUAGCUGUGGUUCUGGCACUUUUCAAAAUAAUUUCAUGAGCUCUUUCUUUUGAACUUAACUUCUCAAAUAUAUUUUAGUUUCAAAUUUAACACUGGGCCAGAACCUGUUUCCUUGGUAACCAAAUCGUAUUUAAACAUGUAAUAACAGAUAUGCAAAAGAAUGUCUUUAAAAAGGAAACAAAUGUUUAAUGAAAAAUUUACAGUUCUUUUUCCUCUCAUAUAGAAUCUGAACUGGUUUUAGAUGGUUUUUAAUGCGGUCUUCAAGCCUUAAAAAUUAAGCCAUGUUUCUAAACAUAUAGAGAAAGCUUGCACAGUGACAGCUUUUCUCUCCCUCCUUUGUGCUCAGUACUUUCAAAAUUAAGGUUUUCUUUGCAGUAUGCUCCAGAAUGCAGGUCAAGGUUUGUGUACAGAGGUGUAGUUUCAUUAUCACAAGUUCACCAGCGCCACUGAAACAAAAGGUAUUUCAGAAAUUCUGAGAAUCAGAAAAUGCUUGUACUCUUGCCUUCCCUGAUCCCUCCGUUGGUAACCUCAGUGCUGUCGGUAGAAAAGGACCCACAUCCAAGCCUACCCCUCCAAUGACAAGUGCACCCUGAACCUUUGUGGAAAUAUCUCUAUAGGUGUGUUAGGAAGAUGGUGCUAAACCUGAAACCUCCCCGAGGUUUGCUUCAAUGUGAAGAACAUUGAGAUUCAAAACCAUCUGUGUAAAUGGCUGCUUUAUUCUAGCAGUUUAACUAAUAUUCUAUUCCAUAGCACUAUCGUAGAAUUGAACCUCUCUAAUGGGCUGAAGGGUGGUGGUGGUUGUUGUCAUGUUGUUUUGUGGCCAACUAAAAUAUUUUGCUUGGAGUCUUUCUCUGGUUCAAUUAUUUUGGAACGUGAUUCAUCUCAUACUGAUUUUGUUCUCCAGGCUUGCCAUGAAAUACCCUUCCUGCAACACCUUUUUUUUUUUUUUUUUUGGCUGUUGGGAGCCAUUUUCCUUCUUGCCUGUGACUUUAAAUGACUAAGUACAUUUUGAAUAUAGUAUCAAUCAGAAGAUUGUAAACUGAAGGGAAAUAUCAGAAACCUGAUUCAAUAUUGCCUAUUUUUUUUAGUACCAACAGCAUUAACAGUUGCAAUAGGAUCAAGCUAAUUGUCAUUCGCUCUUGAGCAAAUAAUGAGCCAGGCAUUUAUAAUUAAAACACUACUGCUAGUCAGAAAGCUUAUAACUACAAUGUCUUCUAUUUUGAUAGGCCAGUACAAAGUAAUCAUUUUGCACCUAUUUGAAUCUUAAUUACAAGAUUAGAUGGAUGCAAUGCAAUUGUUUUACCAUUAAAAUGAAUGCCUGAU